rnacentral:misc_RNA from 1 species
GGUUGAGGUGGGUAGUGUGAUAGAGUUCUAAUUGAUUGCAAAAUGCUAGCUAAGUUUUUAAUAGGACAUUUAUUUAAUCAUCUCUGAUGUAUGUCAGCAAAUGUUGGCUGGUGAAGAAAUGAAACAUUCACAAGAUUAGUGUGGCAGAAAUGUCGAUGCUAAGAUAGAGGUGUGGAAAUUGUAAAUGCAAGGAUGGAUUGGAUAAGUGUAGAAAGAGAUGAUUCU